ACGUAGGUAGCGAGCGUUGUUCGGAUUUAUUGGGCGUAAAGGGUUCGCAGGUGGUUGAUUAAGUCUGAUGUGAAAUCCUACAGCUUAACUGUAGAACUGCAUUAGAUACUGGUCAACUAGAGUAUCGCAGAGGAGAGUGGAAUUCCAGGUGUAGCGGUGGAAUGCGUAGAUAUCUGGAGGAACACCAAAGGCGAAGGCAGCUCUCUGGGCGAUUACUGACCCUCAGGAACGAAAGCGUGGGUAGCAAACAG
rnacentral:rRNA from 1 species